CCCAUUCUCCCCUUCACUUGGCCUCCUAAAGCAGGAACUUUGGCUGUUCUCUCCCCUUACUGGAGGGCAUGGCUAAUCCACUGGUGGAUCUUCAGCAGUGGAUUCACCAGCUCUACAGGCAGAAAACCUUCAGCCUACUCCCACUGUACUCUGGGCCCUGCUGAGACAUUAAGACAUUAAGAGUAGGACUCUGCUGCUGCUCCCUUCUUAACACAAGAAACAAGGGUCAAGACACAGGAUGAAGUCUUUGGUUCUGGCUGAUAAAAAUGAGCUGCAUGGGUAGAGAGUUCAGGAGAGCAAAGGAGAUGGAUUGCAGAUUGUGAA